GACGAACGCUGGCGGCGUGCUUAACACAUGCAAGUGGAGCGACGAACCAGGCUUCGGCCUGGGGCAAAGCCGCGAACGGGUGAGUAACACGUGGGUAACCUGCCUCGAUGACUGGGACAACCCGAGGAAACUCGGGCUAAUACCGGAUGUGGCCACAUCACAUCAGUGUUGUGACUAAAGAUAGCUUCGGCCUUCGCAUCGAGAUGGGCCCG
rnacentral:rRNA from 1 species